CUCCCGGAUGUUAGCGGCGGACGGGUGAGUAACACGUGGGUAACCUGCCUGUAAGACUGGGAUAACUCCGGGAAACCGGAGCUAAUACCGGAUAGUUCCUUGAACCGCAUGGUUCAAGGAUGAAAGACGGUUUCGGCUGUCACUUACAGAUGGACCCGCGGCGCAUUAGCUAGUUGGUGAGGUAACGGCUCACCAAGGCGACGAUGCGUAGCCGACCUGAGAGGGUGAUCGGCCACACUGGGACUGAGACACGGCCCAGACUCCUACGGGAGGCAGCAGUAGGGAAUCUUCCGCAAUGGACGAAAGUCUGACGGAGCAACGCCGCGUGAGUGAUGAAGGUUUUCGGAUCGUAAAGCUCUGUUGUUAGGGAAGAACAAGUGCAAGAG
rnacentral:rRNA from 1 species